UACGGGGGGGGCAAGCGUUAAUCGGAAUUACUGGGCGUAAAGCGUGCGCAGGCGGCUAUGCAAGACAGAUGUGAAAUCCCCGGGCUCAACCUGGGAACUGCAUUUGUGACUGCAUGGCUAGAGUACGGUAGAGGGGGAUGGAAUUCCGCGUGUAGCAGUGAAAUGCGUAGAUAUGCGGAGGAACACCGAUGGCGAAGGCAAUCCCCUGGACCUGUACUGACGCUCAUGCACGAAAGCGUGGGGAGCAAACAGG
rnacentral:rRNA from 1 species